AGAGUUUGAUCAUGGCUCAGAUUGAACGCUGGCGGCAUGCUUAAUACAUGCAAGUCGAACGGUAACAGAUUCUUCGGAAUGCUGACGAGUGGCGGACGGGUGAGUAAUACAUAGGAAUCUGCCCAUGUAGUGGGGGACAACUUGGGGAAACUCAAGCUAAUACCGCAUAAUUCCUACGGGAUAAAGAGGGCCACUGCUUGCAAGCUCUUGCUACUGGAUGAGCCUAUGUCGGAUUAGUUAGUUGGUAAGGUAAUGGCUUACCAAGACAGCGAUCCGUACCUGGUUUGAGAGGAUGAUCAGCCACACUGGGACUGAGACACGGCCCAGACUCCUACGGGGGGCAGCAGUAGGGAGUAUUGGACAAUGGGCGCAAGCCUGAUCCAGCAAUGCCGCGUGUGUGAAGAAGGCCUGCGGGUUGUAAAGCACUUUCAAUUGGGAAGAAAGAUUAUGAGUUAAUACCUUAUAAUAUUGACGU
rnacentral:rRNA from 1 species